rnacentral:tRNA from 1 species
GCCCGGCUAGCUCAAUCGGUAGAGCGUGAGACUCUUAAGAAGGAUCUCCCUGACCUCAACAAGGUUCUCCGUCAUUUCAAGGUUGUGGGUUCGACCCCCGCGUCGGGCU